rnacentral:rRNA from 1 species
AUACGGAGGAUGCGAGCGUUAUCCGGAUUUAUUGGGUUUAAAGGGUGCGUAGGCCGGACAUCAAGUCGGCGGUAAAAUCUAAGGGCUCAACCCUUACGAGCCGUCGAAACUGGUGACCUAGAGUGGGCGAGAAGUAUGCGGAAUGCGAGGUGUAGCGGUGAAAUGCAUAGAUAUCACGCAGAACUCCGAUUGCGGAGGCAGCUUACUAAGCUACAACUGACACUGAAGCACGAAAGCGUGGGGAUC